ensembl:lncRNA
CGUUUUUUUGCAGAUUGUUCUUGGAGAGCUUCAGUGCUCAGUACUUAGUAUAAUAAAUAAGAUGGGCCCUUAGGGCAUAAUAAUUAACCUAACAAAUGUUUAAGAAAGAUUUUUAACAAGUAAGAGCAGGUCUUGUCACUUCAAUGGUGUAAGAGAUUAUUCUUUUGCACUAUUGUCUCAAAGUUUGCUGAGGAACACUGAUGGACACAUCCUGGGCAAGGGCUGAGAAAUCUUUUGUCUGAAGGACACAGACGGUAAAGUCCGGACAAGUCCUUGUCAAAGUUGGCGAAAUCUUUUGUCUGAAGAUUUUACAAGCCAGGGGCAACGAGAGAGAGAUAAAUCGCAGCUUAAUGGCCGGGAAGCAGUCUUUUGUGUGGGUUUAUCUCGAGGGAUAUAGCCAUCUCGGGGGGGUACUGCACAUGGCUCUUACCCAAGCUUCUGCCACACUGGCAGAAGAAGAAGGAUAAAAAGGGGGCCAACAACCAAGAGAUUAGGUGUCAGACAUCAGAAGCCUUACGAGCUGAUGCCUGAAAGCUGAAGGACUCUCUUCUGGACCUGCUACCUGAGAUCUGCUGCUUCCUCCUGGACUUACCCAGCUGCUUGUUCCUGGCACCUGCUUGCAGCUUAAAGCCUGUCACGCUGCUGCUGCUCUCCCCCUGCGCUUUUGCCUCGGACAAUCGGAACAACAUACAACGGGACGCUGCUGGAUCUUGGUGGUUGCUCUAAAUGCAUCUUGCUUGGUUCCCGACAGUGUUGUUCUCACUGAUGGAGAGUGAAGCCAGAAAGAAUAACCCUAAGGACAGAUAUUACCAUAGAAAAAUAUCUCUUAUGAAUAAAGCUCAUGGAUUCUGAGAGAAACAAGCUGUAACUCUGGAAUGUGUCAUCAACGCAACAGUCAAAUAUAGAAAG